ACGCUCGACACCUACGGGAGGCAGCAGUGGGGAAUAUUGCACAAUGGGGGAAACCCUGAUGCAGCGACGCCGCGUGAAGGAAGAAGUAUUUCGGUAUGUAAACUUCUAUCAGCAGGGAAGAAAAUGACGGUACCUGAGUAAGAAGCACCGGCUAAAUACGUGCCAACAGCCGCGGUAAUCUGAGCGGGCUGGCAAGGC
rnacentral:rRNA from 1 species